UGGGGAAUAUUGCACAAUGGGGGAAACCCUGAUGCAGCGACGCCGCGUGAGUGAAGAAGGUUUUCGAAUCGUAAAGCUCUGUCCUAUGAGAAGAUAAUGACGGUAUCAUAGGAGGAAGCCCCGGCUAAAUACGUGCCAGCAGCCGCGGUAAUACGUAUGGGGCGAGCGUUGUCCGGAAUUAUUGGGCGUAAAGGGUACGUAGGCGGUCUAUUAAGUCAGGUGUGAAAGCGUGAGGCUUAACCUCAUUAAGCACUUGAAACUGAUAGACUUGAGUGAAGGAGAGGAAAGUGGAAUUCCUAGUGUAGCGGUGAAAUGCGUAGAUAUUAGGAGGAAUACCGGUGGCGAAGGCGACUUUCUGGACUUUUACUGACGCUCAGGUACGAAAGCGUGGGGAGCAAACAGG
rnacentral:rRNA from 1 species